rnacentral:misc_RNA from 1 species
AUAUAUAUAUCAACCUUCUCUUGUUGAGUGGUUUGGAUAUGGGGGUUUGCUGGCCUUGUAAAAGGGUUCAGCUCCCCUGAAAUGCAUUAGCAGAACAACCUGUUCAUUGGUGUGAUAACUAUCUACGCUAUUGAAUUUAAGGGGCAGUUCAGCUUUCUAGCAGUCCUCGGACAAUUUAUCAUUU